UUGCUGGGGAUACAUAUUAACGCUAUGUAGAUUAAUGAUUAAAAUGUUUACAAAACAAAAGAACGUCAAGAAUUUCGUUUACACUACUUUCUAGCUACUACACAUCGACCAACAACUGAAUGCUUGUUCAUCCCUGAGUUACUCAAAUUGAAGUAAAAUCCUCCAAUUAGGAGGUAAUUGUGAUGCCAUUCCAUAUAAUUCUCUUCUAAAAGACAAUUGUGUUGCCAUUUCAUGCAAGAACAUACAUCAAUCUUCUUUGAUCCACAUGAGGCAAUAACUUGUAGUUGAUAGAGAAUGGUCGAGUGCAACUGGGAACAAUGAUGUCUCGACGCUAGUACGUUCACUCUUAUCUAUUGAAAACCUAUUCUGCAGGUAUUUGCUCAUAGCUAAGAAGUCUUUCAGGCUGAUCACUUGCCUCAGCUCGCAAACUUCAUUUCUACAUCGACACAUCAACAAAAUUAUCAAGUUGAAAUAGUUACACAGAAGAAUAAUGGGUUUUUCUUUCCCAAGGAUAGCCUCAGGAGGAGAGGGGCUGGGUGGGGUGAGAAUGUAGUAAAGAUGUGUU
rnacentral:lncRNA from 1 species